rnacentral:rRNA from 1 species
UACGGGGGGGAGCAAGCGUUGUUCGGAUUUACUGGGCGUAAAGGGCGCGUAGGCGGCCUGAUAAGUAGGGGGUGAAAUCCUGCGGCUUAACCGCAGGGCUGCCUUCUAAACUGUCAGGCUCGAGCACAGUAGAGGCAGGUGGAAUUCCCGGUGUAGCGGUGGAAUGCGUAGAGAUCGGGAAGAACAUCAGUGGCGAAGGCGGCCUGCUGGGCUGUUGCUGACGCUGAGGCGCGACAGCGUGGGGAGCAAACAGG